rnacentral:rRNA from 1 species
UACGAACUGUGCGAACGUUAUUCGGAAUCACUGGGCUUACAGGGUGCGUAGGCGGCUUGUCAAGUAGGGUGUGAAAGCCCCCGGCUCAACCGGGGAAUGGCGCCCUAAACUGGCGAGCUAGAGUGAGAUAGGGGUGUGUGGAACUUCCGGUGGAGCGGUGAAAUGUGUUGAUAUCGGAAGGAACGCCGGUGGCGAAAGCGACACACUGGAUCUUGUCUGACGUUGAGGCACGAAAGCCAGGGGAGCGAACGGG